rnacentral:rRNA from 1 species
UACAUAGGUCCCAAGCGUUGUUCGGAUUCACUGGGCGUAAAGGGUGCGUAGGUGGUUAGGUAAGUCCGAUGUGAAAUCUCCAGGCUCAACCUGGAAAUGGCAUUGGAUACUAUUUAGCUUGAGGAGUGGAGGGGGGACUGGAAUUCUCGGUGUAGCAGUGAAAUGCGUAGAUAUCGAGAGGAACACCAGUGGCGAAGGCGAGUCCCUGGACAGUUCCUGACGCUGAGGCACGAAAGCUAGGGGAGCAAACAGG